rnacentral:rRNA from 1 species
GACGAACGCUGGCGGCGUGCCUAAUACAUGCAAGUCGAACGCAGUGGGGACGGGUGAUUAACACGUGGGUAACCUCCCAUCAGAGGGGAUAACCCUUUGAAACAGGUGCUAAACCGAUACUGAUGGAUGGACCCGCGGUGGAUUAGCUAGUUGGGGAGGUAAAGGCUCACCAAGGCCAAGAUGCAUAGCCGACCGGAGAGGGUGAUCGGCCACACUGGGACUGAGACACGGCCCAGACUCCUACGGGAGGCAGCAGUAGGGAAUCUUGGGCAAUGGACGAAAGCCUGACGGAGCAACGCCGCGUGAGUGAAGAAGGUUUUCGGUUCGUAAAACUCUGUUGGUAGAGAAGCGUUACCUACACAGAAAGCAACGGCUAACUACGUGCCAGCAGCCGCGGUAAUUC